rnacentral:tRNA from 1 species
ACCUAUAUACGUACGUAUAUAUACUGAAAUACUAUCGUUCAAAUGAUUAAUGACGACCUGACUUUGUAUUUUG